rnacentral:rRNA from 1 species
CAAUAGCGUAUAUUUAAGUUGUUGCAGUUAAAAAGCUCGUAGUUGGAUUUCUGCUGAUCGCUGUCGGUCUGCCGUCAGGUGUGUACUGGCAGUGUUUGGCAUCUAUUCGGGAUUGGGUGUCCACUUGAUUGUGUGCACUCGAUGUCGGAGCUAAUACUUUGAGAAAAUUAGAGUGUUCCACGCAGGCGCGUGCCUUGAAUACUGCAGCAUGGGAUAUUGGAAGGCCGAUUGAGCUUUCUUGUUGGUUCUCGGUUUGAUCGGAAUGAUUAAUAGGGAUAGUUGGGGGCAUUCGUAUUCAACUGUCAGAGGUGAAAUUCUUGGAUUUGUUGAAGACGGACUACUGCGAAAGCAUCUGCCAUGGAUGUUCUCAUUGA